rnacentral:misc_RNA from 1 species
GAUGAAGAACGCAGCGAAAUGCGAUACUUGGUGUGAAUUGCAGAAUCCCGUGAACCAUCGAGUCUUUGAACGCAAGUUGCGCCCGAAGCCGUCAGGCCGAGGGCACGCCUGCCUGGGCGUCACACGCCGUUGCCCCCCCGCGCCCCGCACCCAACUCUUUGGGAGCGACCGCGGGGCGGGCUGAUGAUGGCCUCCCGUGCGCUCCGCCGCGCGGUUGGCCCAAAUACCGAGUCCCCGGCGACGUGCACCACGACGAUCGGUGGUUGAGAGACCUCUGUCGCAAGUCGUGCGCGCCCGUCGCGUCACGCGGGCUCGCAUAGCGCCUCGCGCCGCACCCGGUGCGGAGCUUUCAACGCGACCCCAGGUCAGGCGGGGUUACCCGCUGAAUUUAAGCAUAUCAAUAAGCGGAGGA